rnacentral:rRNA from 1 species
UAUCAGUCAUGCAUAGCAUAUCAAUAAGCGGAGGAAAAGAAGCUAACAAGGAUUCCCUUAGUAACGGCGAGUGAAGCGGGAAGAGCUCAAAUUUGAAAUCUUCAAGGUUUUACCUUGACGAAUCGUAGUUUAAAGAAGUGUUUUCUGUUGAAGUUUUGGUAAAAGUUCUUUGGAAUAGGACAUCAUAGAGGGUGAGAAUCCCGUAUUUGACCAUUACUUUCAGCUUUGUGAUACACUUUCAAAGAGUCGGAUUGUUUGGGAAUGCAGUCCAAAAUGGGUGGUAAAUUUCAUCUAAAGCUAAAUAUUGGCGAGAGACCGAUAGCGAACAAGUACCGUGAGGGAAAGAUGAAAAGAACUUUGAAAAGAGAGUUAAACAGUACGUGAAAUUGUCAAAAGGGAAGCGUUUGACACCAGUGUUGUUUUCUCGAAAAUCAAUUAAAAAGAGUUGGAUUUUGUGUUGUAUUGACUUUAUCAGGCUUUCUUCACUCUUUUCCAGCUUUUUUUAAUGCACUUUUCAGUUUAACAAGUCAACAUCAGUUUCUUUUGUUGUAAAAAGGUCAUUGGAAGGUGGCUUUCUCUUCGGAGAAAGUGUUUAUAGCCUUUGACUCAUGCAAUCGGAGAGACUGAGGUCUGCAGCGUAGAUCCUUCGGGGUUAGAUACAUUUGUGCUAAGUUAUAGCUUUUCAUAGACAACUUGUUGACUAUGUUUAGUCUUGUAGCUUACUCGCUUAUGCUAUUUUACCUACGCUUAGGAUGUUGAACUCUAUCACACACAG